rnacentral:lncRNA from 1 species
GGACUAUAUGUUUAUAAUUUUAAUUCCAUUGUUAUAUGACUGUCAAGACAUGUAACAUGACAUAUGAUUUUCUAUUUUGUCUUCCUUCCACACACAUCAAAUCAAGAAUAAAUAAAAUGAAAUUUUGCCCAAUGUUAUACUGUUAUUCACAUCAAGUUGAAAAAUUGACAAUAUUUUUAUACAAAAUUCCAUUCACUGUCAUCAUAACAUUGAAAUUGUUU